UACAGAGGGGGCAAGCGUUGUUCGGAAUUACUGGGCGUAAAAGGCGCGUAGGCGGCCCGCUAAGUCGAACGUGAAAUCCCCGAGCUCAACUCGGGAACUGCGUCCGAUACUGGCGGGCUUGAAUCCGGGAGAGGGAUGCGGAAUUCCAGGUGUAGCGGUGAAAUGCGUAGAUAUCUGGAGGAACACCGGUGGCGAAGGCGGCAUCCUGGACCGGCAUUGACGCUGAGGCGCGAAAGCGUGGGGAGCAAACAGG
rnacentral:rRNA from 1 species